UACGUAGGGUGCGAGCGUUGUCCGGAAUUAUUGGGCGUAAAGAGCUCGUAGGCGGUCUGUCGCGUCUGCUGUGAAAACUCGGGGCUUAACCCCGGGCCUGCAGUGGGUACGGGCAGACUAGAGUGCGGUAGGGGAGACUGGAAUUCCUGGUGUAGCGGUGAAAUGCGCAGAUAUCAGGAGGAACACCAAUGGCGAAGGCAGCUCUCUGGGACGGUACUGACGCUGAGACGCGAAAAGCGUGGGGGAGCGAACAGG
rnacentral:rRNA from 1 species